UACGUAGGGUGCAAGCGUUAAUCGGAAUUACUGGGCGUAAAGCGUGCGCAGGCGGCUUUGCAAGACAGAUGUGAAAUCCCCGGGCUUAACCUGGGAACUGCAUUUGUGACCGCAUGGCUGGAGUGCGGCAGAGGGGAUGGAAUUCCGCGUGUAGCAGUGAAAUGCGUAGAUAUGCGGAGGAACACCGAUGGCGAAGGCAAUCCCCUGGGCCUGCACUGACGCUCAUGCACGAAAGCGUGGGGAGCAAACAGG
rnacentral:rRNA from 1 species